rnacentral:rRNA from 1 species
CUACGGGCCGCAGCAGUCGAGGAAAUUUUACAAUGCUCGCAAGAGUGAUAAAAUAAGCCAGAGUGUUUCUCCUAGAGAAACUUUUAUUUGCUGUAAAAAGGCAAAGGAAUAAGGACUGGGCAAGACCGGUGCCAGCCGCCGCGGUAAUACCGGCGGUCCAAGUCGCAUCCACAUUUAUUGAGUCUAAAACAUUCGUAGCUUGUUUUAUAAGUCUCUUGUGAAAUCCUAUAUCUCAAGUAUAGGGCGUGCAAGAGAUACUAUAUUACUAGAGACUGGAAGACGCAAAGAGUAUGGUUGAGGUAGCGGUAAAAUGUGUUAAUCUCAAUUAGACUAACAAUGGCGAAGGCACUUUGCGAGUACAGAUCUGACAGUGAGGGAUGAAGGCUAGGGGCGCAAAAGGGAUUAGAUACCCCCGUAGUC